rfam:Felis catus isolate Cinnamon breed Abyssinian chromosome B1, whole genome shotgun sequence.
GCCUGGGUGGCUCAGUAGGUUGAGCGUCUGACUUCGGCUCAGGUCAUGAUCUCACACUCUGUGAGUUUGAGCCCCACGUCAGGCU